GACGAACGCUGGCGGCGUGCUUAACACAUGCAAGUCGAACGGAAAGGCCCUGCUUUUGUGGGGUGCUCGAGCGGCGAACGGGUGAGUAACACGUGAGUAACCUGCCCUUGACUUUGGGAUAACUUCAGGAAACUGGGGCUAAUACCGGAUAGGAGCUCCUGCUGCAUGGUGGGGGUUGGAAAGUUUCGGCGGUUGGGGAUGGACUCGCGGCUUAUCAGCUUGUUGGUGGGGUAGUGGCUUACCAAGGCUUUGACGGGUAGCCGGCCUGAGAGGGUGACCGGCCACAUUGGGACUGAGAUACGGCCCAGACUCCUACGGGGGGCAGCAGUGGGGAAUAUUGCACAAUGGGCGGAAGCCUGAUGCAGCAACGCCGCGUGCGGGAUGACGGCCUUCGGGUUGUAAACCGCUUUCGCCUGUGACGAAGCGUGAGUGACGGUAAUGGGUAAAGAAGCACCGGCUAACUACGUG
rnacentral:rRNA from 1 species